GACGAACGCUGGCGGCGUGCCUAAUACAUGCAAGUCGAGCGAGCGGAACUAACAGAUUUACUUCGGUAAUGACGUUAGGAACGCGAGCGGCGGAUGGGUGAGUAACACGUGGGGAACCUGCCCCAUAGUCUGGGAUACCACUUGGAAACAGGUGCUAAUACCGGAUAAGAAAGCAGAUCGCAUGAUCAGCUUUUAAAAGGCGGCGUAAGCUGUCGCUAUGGGAUGGCCCCGCGGUGCAUUAGCUAGUUGGUAAGGUAAAGGCUUACCAAGGCGAUGAUGCAUAGCCGAGUUGAGAGACUGAUCGGCCACAUUGGGACUGAGACACGGCCCAAACUCCUACGGGAGGCAGCAGUAGGGAAUCUUCCACAAUGGACGCAAGUCUGAUGGAGCAACGCCGCGUGAGUGAAGAAGGUUUUCGGAUCGUAAAGCUCUGUUGUUGGUGAAGAAGGAUAGAGGUAGUAACUGGCCUUUAUUUGACGGUAAUCAACCAGAAAGUCACGGCUAACUACGUG
rnacentral:rRNA from 1 species